UUCAGCAAACUUGAAUGAGUGCCACAAUUUAACAGAACAUGAAGAUGUCACUCAGCACAGGACUUUACAGAGGCAACUCUCAGCAUGAGGUUUCAGCGUGCACAGUCCACAAAGAAAAUAAGAAUUUCACCAGUACAGAACUACACUGUGCUCAAUGGAAACUCCUGCAUAGAUGGUUAACUAAAAGCAAUAACGUUAACUCAGAUGACAUGACAGCUUAUCUCUAACACUAUGGAAGACAUGCUCAGCUCAAAGUAUUUCUUUGCAGAAAACAUGAAAGAUGAGCUCUGCUCUUCUAAAGAUGUUUGGUCUAGCAAUGCAGUCCUUAUAGGGCCCCUCACCAAGUCUGGCCAUACUGAGCUGACAAGCACAGUGCAUACAAUGCACGCUAACAAUCGUGUCGGCAAAGUAUUACAUUGUUACUCGCCGCGGAAAGAGCUGAAAUUUUAAACCAGACGCCAUUUGCCCUUCUCCUUGCGGGCACCAUACUCCAAGCUGGAGGGUUGACGUAUAUGCUCAAGUGCAUCUACGUACAUGUCUGUGCUGUGACGUCGCUCAUAGUGGCACGGGACUUCGAGAAUUAUUUAAGGCAACAUCUAUUAUUUGUGUAAUCUGUUGCUUUAAUUGACGAACUCAAA
rnacentral:lncRNA from 1 species